UGGAAUUUGCUCUGGUUAGUUCAACAGAUCUUUUUUUUUUGGUAAGACCAACCAAAAUACUGAUGCAAGUCUGAUGUACAAGUAUCAAUUUCUGAUCCUCUGCUAUCCCAUUGUCGAGAAUUUCCAAAACAUAACUAACAGUGCAAGCUAAGUGCUCCUAAACAUUACUUACGUUAGUAAGUAAACUAAUUGUGAAUGGAAGGGAAAAUCCCACGUUGAAAGAAUCUAUAAUAAACAUAUCUUAGAUUUUAUCUGAAAGAAAAAGCCGCCAUUAUCGAGCCAUUAGACAUUAACAGCAAUACCCAAACUGGACAUGAGUUAAAACUGAAGACCACAAACAUAACUUGGACAAAACCAAUCGAGAAAAAUCAAGGAGUCUAUGUAAUACUUCACUGCAGAUGAAAGACAUCUAAGACAGAUAUAUAGCUAGAAUCCAUUAUAACAAAUAGCAAUUUCCCCUGAGUCCAGUGUCCACGACAAGCAAACAAAUUUCAGGAGGGUAUUAACAAAUGGAUGAUCUUGAUCAAAAUCUGUAGAGAUAUGAAAAGCCAUGACUCCAGUUGCCAACUUCACAACGUUUACCAUGAGGCUGUGACUCAACUAUAUGGUCCCAAGGGGAAGAAACUUGAAACGACAGCAGCGACUACGGACACAGAUGGACCCCAGACAUUCAGACUGAAACUUGACGACGACGCUGAACCUUCUUGACCUCAUUACUGUUCUAGGAC
rnacentral:lncRNA from 1 species